rnacentral:rRNA from 1 species
UACAGAGGCCUCGAGCGUUAGGCGGAAUCACUGGGCUUAAAGCGUGUGUAGGCGGACUUCUAAGUGCCUUGUGAAAUCCCACGGCUCACCCGUGGAACUGCUGGGCAUACUGGGAGUCUUGAGCCACCUAGGGGCGAGCGGAACAAAUGGUGGAGCGGUGAAAUGCGUAGAUAUCAUUUGGAACGCCAACGGAGAAAUCAGCUCGCUGGGGUUGUGCUGACGCUGAGACACGAAAGCCAGGGGAGCGAACGGG